ensembl:lncRNA
CCCGUUUCUGCUGACUGAUCGUCUCCGUGUGAAGCUCCGUGUGAAGUGUUUCAGGAUUCAGAGACUUGUGGAGACUUCUGAUCACUUCCUGUUUAAAAUGUUCGACUUUAACCCUUUGUGUGAAAUGAAGCUGCUGACUUCAGAGAGGGUUCAGCCUUCACAGUGAAGGUAGAAAGUGUGUGUGAGCUGAUUUGGAUUGAGCAGCAUGGAUCAGUGUGAGGACAGAGAGGAGGGAGCCCCUCCCUCUAAAAGAGCCAGAGAGAGCCAGACCAAAGCUCAGAGGAACCCACCUGGACCUCCACCCAGAGAGCAUGACAAGUCUAAAAGCCCUCCCAUAGAAGACCUGCCUGUGUCUGCUGCAGAGAGGACCCAUGGGACUCCAGCUGGACUUGAAGCUGGACCCAGCUGUGUGUCCUUCAAGAGUGACCGGUCUAGACGUCAGCCCAUUGAUUUUAAAGUCCAGCAGGUGUCUGCUGCAGAGAGAGUGGACCAGGAGAGCUCAGAGGUUCAACGUGGUCAGACUGCCCAUCAAACACAGCUGGACUCCAUA